rnacentral:rRNA from 1 species
GACGAACGCUGGCGGCGUGCUUAACACAUGCAAGUCGAGCGGUAAGGCCUUUCGGGGUACACGAGCGGCGAACGGGUGAGUAACACGUGGGCGACCUGCCCUCAGCUCUGGGAUAAGCCUGGGAAACUGGGUCUAAUACCGGAUAUGACCACAUGUCGCAUGGUGUGUGGUGGAAAGUUUUUCGGCUGGGGAUGGGCCCGCGGCCUAUCAGCUUGUUGGUGGGGUGAUGGCCUACCAAGGCGA